rnacentral:miRNA from 1 species
AUCUGUAAGUGAUGGGCAAAGUA